GGCCCCCCCUGCACCCCCCACGCUACGCCACUGUGUACACGGCUUUCCCCAUUCCCACAUGCCUGGGCCGAAUUUCGAGUCCCACCCUGUGAAACCAAGAGGCCUUGGGGAGGGUUGUGUUGGUAUGUGGGGGGUAAAGCUACAUUAACCACCUCAUGAGCCCGGAAUGAGGAGACUUUUUCCAUGAGAGAAAAGCGGAGUCCAUAUCCAGGGGGCUGCUUAGGAGGAGGAGGAGGGGGAGAAAACGCUCCGACACUUUGGAGCCCUGCCCCCUGAACAAUGUCGCCUCUUCCCACGUUAAAAGGCACGCUUGUCACGGAUCAAGGACCUUUCGGAGUGAACCCUGCGACCUUCUUCUGCUACAAAGGCUAAACGCAGGAGGUAGAUCCCUCCGGGGGGUGGGGCAGAAAAGGGCACACGUGUAGCAUCAGUUGCAGAUCCAGAGGUUGAGUGCGUAAAAAGAUCCAGGUUGCCAGGGCUUCAUGAAAGGGAGUACAGGAGGAGUGAUCAACCAAUCAAAGAUUGUAUGUGGAUUUAAAUGCUUCAUUCUUAGUGCAACUAGAGCAGAAAAUGGCACAACGUGAAUCCAUUCUAGUGGCACUGAUUGUAAUGAGAAUGGGAAUGGCACAAAGGUAACC